rnacentral:rRNA from 1 species
AGUGAACGCUGGCGGUAGGCCUAACACAUGCAAGUCGAACGGCAGCACAGUAAGAGCUUGCUCUUACGGGUGGCGAGUGGCGGACGGGUGAGGAAUACAUCGGAAUCUACUUUUUCGUGGGGGAUAACGUAGGGAAACUUACGCUAAUACCGCAUACGACCUACGGGUGAAAGCAGGGGAUCUUCGGACCUUGCGCGAUUGAAUGAGCCGAUGUCGGAUUAGCUAGUUGGCGGGGUAAAGGCCCACCAAGGCGACGAUCCGUAGCUGGUCUGAGAGGAUGAUCAGCGACACUGGAACUGAGACACGGUCCAGACUCCUACGGGAGGCAGCAGUGGGGAAUAUUGGACAAUGGGCGCAAGCCUGAUCCAGCCCUACCGCGUGGGUGAAGAAGGCCUUCGGGUUGUAAAGCCCUUUUGUUGGGAAAGAAAAGCAGCAGGUUAAUACCCCGCUGUCCUGACGGUACCCAAAGAAUAAGCACCGGCUAACUUCGUG